UUGGGUUUCGUAUAGCUCAGUUAGAACAUCGCGUUAUACGACAAUAUGCAAUCAUCUACCACUGGAGGAGACACAGAGUCAGACCUGAGCACUCUCUGUCAGACCAACACACCAAUUUUGAGCUCAGCUGUAGCCGAGCACAGGCGUUCAGUUCGGCCGUCCCGCAGGACCCAGGGUUCGAGGAAUCCAUUACGCGCUCUUGCUGCCCGAGAGGACAUCCAACAGGAUUUCAUGCAGUCUGAAGAAAACAGCAAAAUAGAGAAUAAUACAGCUAUGAAAAAUUCUAACUGCACCCCAGCUGAUGUCUCUUCCUCUGGAAAAGGGAGGCAUACCCACAGUGCCAUACAACAACUUAUGCUCAUUCAGGUUAAAGGUAUGAUAGUGUAUCUAAUAUUCAUCUAAUGUUCUUCUUUAAUGCAUCCCUGCUGAAUAAAAGCAUUAAGUAAAACAUUGUACUGAUCCCAAACCUUUGAGUGGUAGUAUACAUUGUAAAAUUCUGCAUUAUUUGUAUUAGGCACAGAAGCACACAUGAUUUCUCAGAUUUACAUACUUGGAAAUUCCAUAAGAUCCUCUGAGUUUCGUGUGAGAGUAACAUGGGUAAUGUAGUCUGUGCAUGUUUCUGUUCAUCCAGGGUGGAGGCAGGUGCAGGUGCGGUUGGUGGAGCCGCUAUCACGCUCUCUUAACAGUGGUGACUGCUUUCUUCUGGUCACACCAUCACACUGCUUCCUCUGGACUGGCAAACUCUCCAACACCAUUGAGAGAGAAAAGGUACAUCAGUUCAUGCAGAAACAGUGAUUCCUGUUUAAGCACUUGCUCACAGCGGGUGGAAAGAAGUAGUGUGUGUGUGUGUGUGUGUGUGAGAGAGAGAGAGAGAGACAGAGACAGAGACAGAAAAUUGUAAAGUGCUUGCGUGUUUUAGCUGACUGUUAAACGUGUGCUGCAGAGCUACAAUGUAUAAGUGAAGUUUACUUAACAGUCCCUCCAGGAUUUUGCUAAUUUUUUCAGGAUUUUUGCAAUCAAAAUGACCACAUGAUGCCACAAAUGCCACAAAAAAUGAUUUUGUGGUGGUAAUUUCCAGAGAUUUGCGAAAAAUGUGAUGUGAUGUUUUAGGAUAGCACAAAUUCUUUGGUUUUCCAGCAUCUUUUGAUUAUUUGAACCAUUCUUUCAUCAACCUUUUCACACUGAGGGCAAAACCUUUUCACACUGAGGGCAACUGAGGGACUCAUACACAACUGUUACAAAAAGUUCAAACACUCACUGAUGCUCCAAAAGGAAAACAAUGAAUUAAGAGCAUGGAGGUUAAAACUUUUUGAAUUUGAAGAUCAGGGUAAAUUUAAAUUAUUUUCUUUUCUGGUAAAUAUAUAAGUAUAUUCUGAAGGGCAGUACUAAAUAAUAAUAAUAAUAAUAAUAAUAAUAAUAUAUAGAUAUAUAUAUAUAAUAAUAAUAAUAAUAAUAAUAAUAAUAAUAAUAAUAAUAAUAAUAAUAAUAAUAAUAAUAAUAAUAAUAAUAAUAAUAAUAAUAAUAAUAAUAAUAAUAAUAAUAAUAAUAAUAAUAAUAAUAAUAAUAAUAA
rnacentral:lncRNA from 1 species